GACGAACGCUGGCGGCGUGCUUAACACAUGCAAGUCGAACGGAAAGGCCCUGCUUUUGUGGGGUGCUCGAGUGGCGAACGGGUGAGUAACACGUGAGUAACCUGCCCUUGACUUUGGGAUAACUUCAGGAAACUGGGGCUAAUACCGGAUAGGAGCUCCUGCUGCAUGGUGGGGGUUGGAAAGUUUCGGCGGUUGGGGAUGGACUCGCGGCUUAUCAGCUUGUUGGUGGGGUAGUGGCUUACCAAGGCUUUGACGGGUAGCCGGCCUGAGAGGGUGACCGGCCACAUUGGGACUGAGAUACGGCCCAGACUCCUACGGGAGGCAGCAGUGGGGAAUAUUGCACAAUGGGCGGAAGCCUGAUGCAGCAACGCCGCGUGCGGGAUGACGGCCUUCGGGUUGUAAACCGCUUUCGCCUGUGACGAAGCGUGAGUGACGGUAAUGGGUAAAGAAGCACCGGCUAACUACGUGCCAGCAGCCGCGGUGAUACGUAGGGUGCGAGCGUUGUCCGGAUUUAUUGGGCGUAAAGAGCUCGUAGGUGGUUGAUCGCGUCGGAAGUGUAAUCUUGNGGCUUAACCCUGAGCGUGCUUUCGAUACGGGUUGACUUGAGGAAGGUAGGGGAGAAUGGAAUUCCUGGUGGAGCGGUGGAAUGCGCAGAUAUCAGGAGGAACACCAGUGGCGAAGGCGGUUCUCUGGGCCUUUCCUGACGCUGAGGAGCGAAAGCGUGGGGAGCGAACAGGCUUAGAUACCCUGGUAGUCCACGCUGUAAACGGUGGGUACUAGGUGUGGGGUCCAUUCCACGGGUUCCGUGCCGUAGCUAACGCUUUAAGUACCCCGCCUGGGGAGUACGGCCGCAAGGCUAAAACUCAAAGGAAUUGACGGGGCCCCGCACAAGCGGCGGAGCAUGCGGAUUAAUUCGAUGCAACGCGUAGAACCUUACCUGGGUUUGACAUGGAUCGGGAGUGCUCAGAGAUGGGUGUGCCUCUUUUGGGGUCGGUUCACAGGUGGUGCAUGGCUGUCGUCAGCUCGUGUCGUGAGAUGUUGGGUUAAGUCCCGCAACGAGCGCAACCCUUGUUCACUGUUGCCAGCACGUUAUGGUGGGGACUCAGUGGAGACCGCCGGGGUCAACUCGGAGGAAGGUGGGGAUGACGUCAAGUCAUCAUGCCCCUUAUGUCCAGGGCUUCACGCAUGCUACAAUGGCUGGUACAGAGAGUGGCGAGCCUGUGAGGGUGAGCGAAUCUCGGAAAGCCGGUCUCAGUUCGGAUUGGGGUCUGCAACUCGACCUCAUGAAGUCGGAGUCGCUAGUAAUCGCAGAUCAGCAACGCUGCAGUGAAUACGUUCCCGGG
rnacentral:rRNA from 1 species